rnacentral:lncRNA from 1 species
AGGCAUGUGCCACCACACCUGGCCUAAUAAGCACAUCAAAAGUUAUUUAACAGACUUAACUGCUAACUUAAAUGUUACAAGAAAAAAUACUCAUAUUUGCUUGCUAUGAAGGUUUAAUUCAUUUCACUCACUCAAGGUAGCUUUAGGACUUUUCCCUUAAUGUCAAUAUCAAUAAUAGAGAUAAUCUUAAGAGAAAAUCAUUUUUCCUCAUAAUCCUCAGGUGGCAAACUUAAAACAUUUUAUCAAUGAAAACAAUAAACUGAAUUAUUAGCAUUCUUUGGUUUCUUUCAUAGUAUUAUUUUCUUGUGCAGGCUGCAAUUUACUCAGACCUUCUAAAUGAUUAGAAUAUCC